UACGUAGGGUCCGAGCGUUGUCCGGAAUUAUUGGGCGUAAAGGGCUCGUAGGCGGUUUGUCGCGUCGGGAGUGAAAACUCAGGGCUCAACCCUGAGCGUGCUUCCGAUACGGGCAGACUAGAGGUAUUCAGGGGAGAACGGAAUUCCUGGUGUAGCGGUGGAAUGCGCAGAUAUCAGGAGGAACACCGGUGGCGAAGGCGGUUCUCUGGGCAUUACCUGACGCUGAGGAGCGAAAGUGUGGGGAGCGAACAGG
rnacentral:rRNA from 1 species